AUCCGACUGACGCGUCCCAAGUAGGAUGAAACGCGCGUCCUGGAU
rnacentral:hammerhead_ribozyme from 1 species